rnacentral:rRNA from 1 species
AGUGAACGCUGGCGGUAGGCCUAACACAUGCAAGUCGAACGGCAGCACAGUAAGAGCUUGCUCUUACGGGUGGCGAGUGGCGGACGGGUGAGGAAUACAUCGGAAUCUACUUUUUCGUGGGGGAUAACGUAGGGAAACUUACGCUAAUACCGCAUACGACCUACGGGUGAAAGCAGGGGAUCUUCGGACCUUGCGCGAUUGAAUGAGCCGAUGUCGGAUUAGCUAGUUGGCGGGGUAAAGGCCCACCAAGGCGACGAUCCGUAGCUGGUCUGAGAGGAUGAGCAGCAACACGGGAACUGAGAGAAGGACCAGACUACGACGGGAGGCAGAAGUGGGGAAUAUUGGACAAUGGGCGCAAGCCUGAUGCAGCAAUGCCGCGGGUAUGAAGAAGGCCUUCGGGUUGUAAAGUACUUUCAGCGGGGAGGAAGAGAGUAAAGUUAAUACCUUUACACAUUGACGUGACCCGAAGAAGAAGCACCGGCUAACUCCGUG